CAGCCCUGCACUGGAGGAAUUGCCCUCAGCUCUCCCCAGCCCUGCAGCUGACAGCAAGGCUGUCAUCCAAGGCUGACAGCAAGAACUUUCAUCCUCAGAAGUCUUGAGAUGGGAAAAAUUAUCAUUUAUGAGCAUGCCAACUUCAGGGGUGUGUCUAGAGAAAUCACUUCUGAUAUUUCCAAUCUGGGACGUUUGGAUUUUAAUGAUAUUAUCUCCUCAGUGAAAGUAAUUGGCCAGCCUUGGGUGGCUUAUGAGCAUAUAAAUUACACAGGCAGGCUAAUGGUACUUGAGGAGGGAGAACACGACUACGUUGGCAGAAGCAUGAAUGAUACGAUCAGCUCUCUGCAGAUGAUCACUGAAGAUCUGCACGACCCCCAGAUCACUCUCUAUGAGCAUCCCAACUAUCAUGGGAAGAGCAGAGUAAUAAGAGAAGCAACCAACCUGGCUGCAGGAUUUGACAAUGACAUCAUGUCUUCCCACAAAGUCCAGAGAGGUGCCUGGCUGUUGUGUGAGCACAGUGAUGGAAGUGGAAUUCAAUACAUUGCACGAGAAAAAGAUAACCUUCCACACUACUCAGCAAUCUACCUCAAUGACAGGCUUUCCUUCCUGCGUCCCCUUCGCCCUGGCCGCUCUUAUUAGAAUGCAAAUCCUCCAAAGCUGAGACAAGAUGCAGCACCAGCAAGAAAUUUGAGAUCUAGAUUUCUCCUUCUGCUUGUAUAGCCUUUUUUCUGUGGGAGCUCUCUGCUGUGCUGCACUGCAGAUCUGUACUUCUCUCUCCUGCCUUGCAUGCUUCUCCAGACCCAUAAAUGAUAGUAUUAUCACGCUUGAUCAUAUGAAAGAGUGUCCAAGCUAAGAAACAUGCCAGGCAUAUGUAACCUAAUACACCCUCAGUUGGCAUUCCAGAGUCCUGUGCAAUGAAAUGCUGAAACAUUGCAAAUUGUCUCUGUUGCUAAGUGAAACAGAAAAUGUAAGUGUAGGGUCAGUAUCUCCUUCUUUUCAAUUUGCUUUUGAAGGUACCAUGGCUUCUGCCGUUGUCUGUAAUCCAUUUUACAUUGAUGCCAUUAAAGAAUCUUUUCAGUUUGCAGUG